CCCGAGUCCCCAGGGAGGGCUCCUGUCCGGCCCCCACCCGCCCUCCCCUGCAGAAACUGCUAACCCUUGGGCACAAUGACUCUGGCCCCAGACAGGAAGCAAAGAAAGAGCGACUGGUGUGUCACUUCACUCUGGGAGACUGGACAGCUCACCCAGGCUCGCUGUUUCUAAACUGGAAGACAAACACGCUACAGGAGCCCGGUCAGCUUUGUAUCCUGGAACACAGUCACAACUGCCAGAAACAGGACUUUCAGUCUCUCACCAUGAAAGACAAGAGAAACUUACCAAGAUGGACCAGGGGACCAGAAAUCUCAAGUGGCCCCCCAGACUUUGACAGACAAGAACCCAGAAGCCAGCUCAGUCGCGGCAACCCACAGUCAGCUUCCCAGUCAGCAGCCACCCUCUUGGGAAGGACGGCUAGAGACUCAAGGACCUUCACCUCCACGACUGGGACUUGCCAAGGGCUAAGGCUCUGCCCUCAUGGCAGCUACCCAGAGAAUCUUCUCCAAAGACUUGGGGUGAGACUGAGCUUUGCUCGAAGUUCCAGAACUGAAGGACGGGAGCCACCCAGUUGAAAACACCCAGUGAGCGCCCAGCACGUGGCUGAAAACAGACCCUCUCCAAGGUACCUGCUUCUAGACGCUGGAGGAAAAUCAUGACCAGCACGGAAUUCCAUAGUAGCCACAUUAUCACGCACACCUAAAGGCAGAACACAGACACUGUCAGACAUGCAACUUCUCAAAAAUUUCUCUUCUGCACGCUCUUCUAACAGAGAACACGAAAUCCACCAAGACCACGAACCAUGAGAAAGAAGGCUACAGAAAUAAAACUCAGAGAAGGAAACCAAGGAUGGAGAGAGAGAAGAGGCGGGAGAAAAGUCAAGUGGGCCGAUUUCCUUAUCUCUCAACAAAAACUGCUCUUAUCAGUAGAUACUGUUCUAUGGGUUUCCUAAGGCUGGAGGGGAACAGGGAGAAGACCUGGAAACAAGGAGGGCCUCUUGGCGGGAGCUCCAGCCUUAGGGGCGGCAGCGGUUUCCUACCUGGAUGGAUCACCAAGCUUCUUCCACAUCAACCUCCCGGUACUGCUGGGUGCCCCUUUCCUGGCAUUCAAUGCCCUUAGUUGACGUAGUUUCUGUUUUCUUGAGAGGAACUUCAUGGAUAAAAUAGCCAGUUUGAGACCACAAGGAAGAGCCCAUGCUGGCAUCAUGGCAGAGGGGAGUGAGAGAUAACCAUUGACCAAAUAUUAAGCCAGAAAGAGCCCUGAAGAAAUUUCAAAAAAUAGAAAAGAAUACAGAACACAUUCUUUUUAAAAAGAUUUUAUUAUUUAUUUAUUUGAUAGGCAGAGAUCACAAGUAGGCAGAGAGGCAGGCAGGGAUUGGGGAAGCCGGCUCUCCACUGAGCAGAGAUGCGGGGCUCGAUCCCAGGACCCUGAGAUGAUGACCGGAGCCGAAUGCAGAGGCUUAACCCACUGAGCCACCCAGGCACUCCAGAACACAUUCUUGGAAUAGAAUGUUAAUUAAAAUGGAAAACAGAACAAAAGCCUACCUUUAGAAUUUAAAACUCCCUUUAAAAAAAUCUUUGGUUAUGAGCUCCAAAGAACAAUUAUUAUAUUAUUUACCUAGAGUUGUUAUUUUACAUUUCUUAGUUAAUUUUUAUUUCACUACUAGGGAUGGUAUGCAGGAAGAGGGGAGGAGAUGUUAAUAUGUCAAUUCCAAAUGCUGUAUAUUACUUAUUAUAUAUAAUGGGAGUGUGUAAUGAAAAAUAAAUCAAAAUGUUUAAAAUAAUUAAAAUUAACCAUAAUAGAAAAAAAAUCUUUGGUUAAAAGAAGUCUAAGAAAAAAAAUUGCAGAAUAUCUAGAAAACAGGAAUGAUGAGAACAGAAAGUACUGAGCUGGAACACAGAGAAACCAGAGAACUAAUAAAUCAAUCUCAAAACUGGCUCUUUGAGAACACCAAAACAAGACCCAAAGAUAAAACAACAGCCAACCUAAGCAAGGGGUGAAAAGAACCCAAAGAAAACAAAAUGAAAGGCCCAAACUGGGAAAUAAUAAAAUUGGUCAUAAGUCUCCCAGGGUCACAAACAAUUUGUGUUAUAGGCAACAGAAAAAGUAAUUAUGGUAGGGGAAGCCUUAACCACAGAGAACGUUCUCAUGAAGAGAUCCCUGAUGCCUGAUUGAGCUACUGCCACUGUUUCAGAUGUCACCUCCAGACCCAAUCCAUUCCAGGAGGAGCAGAACGUCUGUGGCUUCCCAGAAGUCCCUUGGAGAACAUCCCUGAACUUAACCCUGGUUAGAACUCGGUCACUGCCCACCACAGUUUGCCACAGCAGGAGUUCUUCCUGAAUUACACAAGAAGAGGGGGAGCCAUGGGUGACUGCAUGGUUCAGUAGGCUAAGCAUCCGACACUUGAUUUCAGCUCAAGUCAUGAUCUCAGGGUCGUGAGAUCAAGUCCUACGUUGGGCUUUACACUAGGUGUGGAGCCUGCUUGAGAUUUUCUGUUUCUUCCUCUCCCUCUGCACCACCCCCUUCAUUACAGAGUGUGUUUGGAUAUCUGGUAAGGCAGUAUUCUCUUGAGUCAACAGUUUCUUGGCCCAUCUUGUAUAUUUACUGUGAUGAACACUUGAAUCAUAUCCUUAAGUUCCAUGACAUUCAGGUAGGGGAAAAAAUGGAUAACGCCUACUGGCAUCCUUCAGUUUCCCGAUGUUUCUGUUCCUCUUGCCUCCACUCUCUCCCCUUUUAGAGAUUAUCUUUUCCUCUUUAUGAGGAUGAGAUGUAAAUAUUCUGACAGUUCAAAAGUCAAGUGAAGCUGCUAUCGAGUGGUCAAAGAUACAUUACUAUUGAAAGUUAGCACACCUGGGUGGCUCAGUGGGUUAAGCAUUAGCCUUCAGCUCAGGUCAUGAUCUUGGCGUCCUGGGAUCAAGUCCUGUGUAGCACUCCUUGUUCAGUGGGGGGUCUGCUUUCUCCAUCUCCCUCUGCCCCUCCCUCUCCCUGCCUCUGUCUCUGUCUCUCUCAAAUAAAUAAAAUGUUUUUUUAAAGAAUUUUUUUUAAAGAUUUUUUCAUUUAUUUGUCAGAGAGAGAGAGAGAGAGCGUGAACACAGGCAGAC
rnacentral:lncRNA from 1 species